rnacentral:tRNA from 2 species
GCUGGUGUAGCUCAGUUGGUAGAGCAGCUGAUUUGUAAUCAGCAGGUCGGGGGUUCAAGCCCCUCCACCAGCU